rnacentral:ribozyme from 13 species
GAAAGAAAGAAACCAAAGAUGAAUAAACAAAUCAUCAGACCACAUUUCCUGCCUGUAUUUUCUUGAAUGUAUAUCUUGAUUGUUGUUUUCUCCCUCUAGCUACCUUUGCCAUGAUGUAUUAAAAC